rfam:Burkholderia sp. Leaf177 contig_1, whole genome shotgun sequence.
UGCUCCCUGCCUGGUUUGCCAAGGUCAUAUAUUCCUUGAACCAAUGCCAUUGUGCACGGUUGUGGGAUCUUGUAGCACUGGCGAGCGCGUCACUCUGUCUGAUGAGCCCAAGGUGCUGCUUACUGCGACCAAUCUUGAACCCAGGUUCAGGAUGCCGGCCUAGCGGCUUGGGCGGGGACCUC